rnacentral:rRNA from 1 species
ACGAACGCUGGCGGCAGGCCUAACACAUGCAAGUCGAGCGCCCUUUCGGGGGAGCGGCGGACGGGUGAGUAACGCGUGGGAAUAUGCCCUUCUCUACGGAAUAGCCUCGGGAAACUGAGAGUAAUACCGUAUACGCCCUGUGGGGGAAAGAUUUAUCGGGGAAGGAUUAGCCCGCGUUGGAUUAGGUAGUUGGUGGGGUAAUGGCCUACCAAGCCGACGAUCCAUAGCUGGUUUGAGAGGAUGAUCAGCCACACUGGGACUGAGACACGGCCCAGACUCCUACGGGAGGUAGCAGUGGGGAAUCUUAGACAAUGGGGGCAACCCUGAUCUAGCCAUGCCGCGUGAGUGAUGAAGGCCUUAGGGUUGUAAAGCUCUUUCAGCUGGGAAGAUAAUGACGGUACCAGCAGAAGAAGCCCCGGCUAACUCCGUG